GAUGAACGCUGGCGGCGUGCCUAAUACAUGCAAGUCGAGCGAAUGGAUUAAGAGCUUGCUCUUAUGAAGUUAGCGGCGGACGGGUGAGUAACACGUGGGUAACCUGCCCAUAAGACUGGGAUAACUCCGGGAAACCGGGGCUAAUACCGGAUAACAUUUUGAACCGCAUGGUUCGAAAUUGAAAGGCGGCUUCGGCUGUCACUUAUGGAUGGACCCGCGUCGCAUUAGCUAGUUGGCGAGGUAACGGCUCACCAAGGCAACGAUGCGUAGCCGACCUGAGAGGGUGAUCGGCCACACUAGGACUGAGACACGGCCCAGACUCCUACGGGAGGCAGAAGUAGGGAAUCUUCCGCAAUGGACGAAAGUCUGACGGAGCAACGCCGCGUGAGUGAUGAAGGCUUUCGGGUCGUAAAACUCUGUUGUUAGGGAAGAACAAGUGCUAGUUGAAUAAGCUGGCACCUUGACGGUACCUAACCAGAAAGCCACGGCUAACUACGUGCCAGCCGCCGCCGUAA
rnacentral:rRNA from 1 species